GCAUGGACGCUUGUACAAAUGUUCAGUCAGAGGUGCAAUUCUGAAGGACACUCUCCACUAACAUACAUGGACUUGAGCGACGUUCAAGAAAAUUCUGUCACGCCAACUUCUGCAGCAUGACUGUUCUCCCGCACUGAAAGACCUCCCUUGUAUGUCAACGUCAAAAAUCGCAGACCAAUCCAAG